UGUGUGGUGGGUUGAAUGAAAUGUAUCUCAUAAGUCUCAGAUAUUUGAAUACUGUUUGCAAUGCAUGAGGAUGUGAGGAGGAGGUGUGAUCCUGGGGGUGAUCUUCAAAAGCCUCCCUCCGUCUCCACUGUGCUCUCUCUGCUUCCUGUGUGUGGAUCAGGAUGUGAGCUCUCAGCUGUUCCAGCAUCACACCUGCCCGCUACCGUACUUCCUGCUAUCAUGAUGAUGGACUGCUAUCCCUGUGGAACUAGGUCAGUGACUGGAUGGAAGCCCAGGUCUCAGAAGGCUUGUGAAGUCCAUGAAGAUCACAGGAGGGGGCCAAGAGAGAAGUUGCAGGUUUGGCUGUGGUGACCUUCCAAGGCCUGGGAGUAAAGAGGGUGAUUGCCCCUUCUGAAGAUGAAGGGAAGCCACAGACUCAUUCAGAUAAGAGGGUCUCCUCCCUCUGACCCCUCGGGCUCCAGUGUGAUCUAUGCCCUCUGGAAUCAAACUCUUAAUUGACUGCUUUGAGUCCUGGGAAGGCGUUGACCUCUUUUUCCUCCGAAGGAUGUGAGCAGCUGUCUCUGAGGCGAUUUUUCUUAGCCCCUCCUCCUCCCUCGAGGAGUUAGCAUCAACAGCAUCAUCUUGGAGGCAGGCCUUCCUUGAUGAUUUCUUUAGAGACAGGAAUCCUGGUGAUUCCUGUUAGAGGCACCUGCUAAUUGCCAUCACUGCCAUUUCCCCGUAAGCAGUCCUGAUUCUGUGUGUGGUGUGUUUGGCUAUUUGGUUCCCCACCCCCAAACUCCCACUGGAGUGUAAAAAGUCAGGAAGUGUUCAAAAACAUUUCUUAAAUAAAACAAUCCGG